CACAUGCAGUCGAACGAAGCACUUUAUUACAAUUUCUUCGGAAUGACGAUUUAGUGACUGAGUGGCGGACGGGUGAGUAACGCGUGGGUAACCUGCCUUAUACAGGGGGAUAACAGUUAGAAAUGACUGCUAAUACCGCAUAAGCGCACAGGAUUGCAUGAUCUGGUGUGAAAAACUCCGGUGGUAUAAGAUGGACCCGCGUCUGAUUAGCUGGUUGGUGAGGUAACGGCCCACCAAGGCGACGAUCAGUAGCCGACCUGAGAGGGUGACCGGCCACAUUGGGACUGAGACACGGCCCAAACUCCUACGGGAGGCAGCAGUGGGGAAUAUUGCACAAUGGGGGAAACCCUGAUGCAGCGACGCCGCGUGAGCGAAGAAGUAUUUCGGUAUGUAAAGCUCUAUCAGCAGGGAAGAAAAAAUGACGGUACCUGACUAAGAAGCCCCGGCUAACUACGUGCCAGCAGCCGCGGCAAUACGUAGGGGGCAAGCGUUAUCCGGAUUUACUGGGUGUAAAGGGAGCGCAGGCGGUGCGGCAAGUCUGAUGUGAAAGCCCGGGGCUCAACCCCGGGACUGCAUUGGAAACUGUCGUACUUGAGUAUCGGAGAGGUAAGUGGAAUUCCUAGUGUAGCGGUGAAAUGCGUAGAUAUUAGGAGGAACACCAGUGGCGAAGGCGGCUUACUGGACGAUAACUGACGCUGAGGCUCGAAAGCGUGGGGAGCAAACAGGAUUAGAUACCCUGGUAGUCCACGCCGUAACGAUGAAUACUAGGUGUCGGGGGACAUAGUCCUUCGGUGCCGCAGCAAACGCAAUAAGUAUUCCACCUGGGGAGUACGUUCGCAAGAAUGAAACUCAAAGG
rnacentral:rRNA from 1 species